UACGUAGGGGGCAAGCGUUAUCCGGAUUUAUUGGGUUUAAAGGGUGCGUAGGCGGAAUAUCAAGUCAGCGGUAAAAAUUCGGGGCUCAACCCCGUCGUGCCGUUGAAACUGAUGUUCUUGAGUGGGCGAGAAGUAUGCGGAAUGCGUGGUGUAGCGGUGAAAUGCAUAGAUAUCACGCAGAACUCCGAUUGCGAAGGCAGCAUACCGGCGCCCAACUGACGCUGAAGCACGAAAGCGUGGGUAUCGAACAGG
rnacentral:rRNA from 1 species